rnacentral:misc_RNA from 1 species
UGUAGGAGUGAGCCUGCUCGCGAUAGCGUUGUGUCAGCCAACAGUGAUGCUGCUGAUGCACCGCUAUCGCGAGCAGGCUCGCUCCUACA